UCGACCGGCGCACGGGUGCGUAACGCGUAUGCAACCUACCUUAACAGGGGAGUAACACUGAGAAAUUGGUACUAAUACCCCAUAAUAUCAUAGAAGGCAUCUUUUAUGGUUGAAAAUUCCGAUGGUUAGAGAUGGGCAUGCGUUGUAUUAGCUAGUUGGUGGGGUAACGGCUCACCAAGGCGACGAUACAUAGGGGGACUGAGAGGUUAACCCCCCACACUGGUACUGAGACACGGACCAG
rnacentral:rRNA from 1 species